rnacentral:rRNA from 1 species
CACGUAGGGCGCAAGCGUUGUCCGGAAUUAUUGGGCGUAAAGAGCUCGUAGGCGGUCUGUUGCGUCCGCUGUGAAAACUCGGGGCUUAACCCCGAGCCUGCAGUGGAUACGGGCAGACUAGAGGUAGGUAAGGGAGAAUGGAAUUCCCGGUGUAGCGGUGAAAUGCGCAGAUAUCGGGAGGAACACCGGUGGCGAAGGCGGUUCUCUGGGCCUUACCUGACGCUGAGGAGCGAAAGCGUGGGGAGCGAAGGGG